UAUAUGUGUUUUUAAUAAGUAUAUCGUCUAUAGACAGCUUCUUAUAUAACACAACUGUGUCUCAGGUACAGAGAUUGGGAACAUUUAUGAUUUCUAAUAUCUGUUUUUUAUUUGUAGUAAUCCCUUUUUCAAUAGACAGACCGCAGAUUUAAGACAUAACUGUACUGUAAAAAAACAUAUCUAUAAGUUAAUGUAAUAAAUCACAUACUAUAACUGAUUAUUGCCAUUUAAAACUAUGAAAAAUACAUUAUGUUGAUUAUAAAACAGAAAUACAGAAUGGAGAAAACCGUCUGUGGCUCAAGCUCGACUGCCCCUUUCUUUGAGUGGCCCCUCAAUGUUGUGGAAACGGGUGGAGGACAUUGUCUCCAUUAGAAUGGGUCCCCCUACGAUGCUUCGCCUGUUGAUCUGAAGUGCAUUCUGUGCUUUGGAACCUCGGGGGCAAACUGUAUUUCUGUUAUUAAUUUUUAGUUUAGCAAUUCCCACUGCAAUAUGGUUAACCUCUAUCCUAAAUUUCUGCCCAAAAUUGAUAAAAGACAUUCCAAGAAAUAUUUUGCCAAAUAAAAAUAUAUAAAAUAUUGAUGAAAUUGAUGAAUAAUAAUAACAACAAAAAUAACAGUUUUUGAUUAAAAAACAAAAAAACAAAAAUAAUUUAUAAAAUAUUUUGCUCCUGCCCCCUUCCCCCAAAAAUAAAAAAAACAUAUAUUACCCUUAAAAUUUAUGAAUAAAGAAACAAAAAAUAACACAUACCCCAAACAUUACAAACACAAAACCCCCCAAAACCUAACAAUAGUCUCUGUCAACAUCAUCCUGAGAGGGAUAAUACACUGCACUGCAAUAGAAAUAAAAAUCCCUAUCAUCUAUAUCUCAAUGGGUUCCAUCUUUUCUUUUGUUCUUUUUUCUAAUGCGGUUUUAUAAUCCCUGAGACAAGUAGUUCUGGCCCUAGAGUGUUAUAUAUAUUAGCGUCUGUAGCAUGUAUAAGGGACAUGUUAUCAUACCUGUGUCUUUUUAUAGGUGAUUAAUGCCCGGUGAGAGGGUGAAAGGGACCUAUACCCCCGUCAGCUGCAGGAAAGGAACAAAGAGACAGGUGAUUAAUGCCCGGUGAGAGGGUGAAAGGGACCUAUACCCCCGUCAGAUGCAGGAAAGGAACAAAGAGACAGGUGAUUAAUGCCCGGUGAGAGGGUGAAAGGGACCUAUAACCCCGUCAGCUGCAGGAAAGGAAUAAAGAGACAGGUGAUUGAUGCCCGGUGAGAGGGUGAAAGGGACCUAUACCCCCGUCAGCUGCAGGAAAGGAACAAAGAGACAGGUGAUUAAUGCCCGGUGAGAGGGUGAAAGGGACCUAUAACCCCGUCAGCUGCAGGAAAGGAAUAAAGAGACAGGUGAUUGAUGCCCGGUGAGAGGGUGAAAGGGACCUAUACCCCCGUCAGCUGCAGGAAAGGAACAAAGAGACAGGUGAUUAAUGCCCGGUGAGAGGGUGAAAGGGACCUAUAACCCCGUCAGCUGCAGGAAAGGAAUAAAGAGACAGGUGAUUAAUGCCCGGUGAGAGGGUGAAAGGGACCUAUACCCCCGUCAGCUGCAGGAAAGGAACAAAGAGACAGGUAAUUAAUAUUUAUAUUAAUUACUGAUAACAAUCAGGCUAGAUAUAACAUCUAGACUUGCAGAGAUGUCAUAGUCUCUACCUUAUACAUGAAGAUAUAUGUGUUUUUAAUAAGUAUAUCGUCUAUAGACAGCUUCUUAUAUAACACAACCAUGUCUCAGGUACAGAGAUUAGGAACAUUUAUGAUUUCUAAUAUCUGUUUUUUAUUUGUAGUAAUCCCUUUUUCAAUAGAUUGACCGCAGAUUUAAGACAUAACUGUACUGUAAAGAAAAAUCUAUAAGUUAAUGUAAUAAAUCACAUACUAUAACUGAUUGUUGCCAUUUAAAACUAUGAAAAAUACAUUAUGUUGAUUAUAAAACAGAAAUACAGAAUGGAGACAACCGUCUGUGGCUCAAGCUCGACUGCCCAUUUCUUUGAGUGGCCCCUCAAUGUUCUGGAAACGGGUGGAGGACAUUGUCUCCAUUAGAAUGGGUCCCCCUACGAUGCUUCGGCUGUUGAUCUGAAGUGCAUUCUGUGCUUUGGAAUCUCGGGGGCAAACUGUAUUUCUGUUAUUAAUUUUUAGUUUAGCAAUUCCCACCGCAACAUGGUUAACCUCUAUCCUAAAUUUCUGCACAAAAUUGAUAAAAGACAUUCCAAGAAAUAUUUAAAUUUAUGAAUAAAGAAACAAAAAAUAACACAUACCCCAAACAUUACAAACACAAAACCCCCAAAAACCUAACAAUAGUCUCUGUCAACAUCAUCCUGGGAGGGAUAAUACACUGCACUGCAAUAGAAAUAAAAAUCCCUAUCAUCUAUAUCUCAAUGGGUUCCAUCUUUUCUUUUGUUCUUUUUUCUAAUGCGGUUUUAUAAUCCCUGAGACAAGUAGUUCUGGCCCUAGAGUGUUAUAUAUAUUAGCGUCUGUAGCAUGUAUAAGGGACAUGUUAUCAUACCUGUGUCUUUUUAUAGGUGAUUAAUGCCCGGUGAGAGAGUGAAAGGGACCUAUACCCCCGUCAGCUGCAGGAA